rnacentral:lncRNA from 10 species
UUACAGGACCAGCAUAGGGUGAGAUUUCAGGGACACCCAGGCCAGGCCUUUGGAGGCCCCCUUGUGAUGGGGUGAUUAUGAGGUACACAUACGUGCAGACGUUCUGGGGCUGGGCCACGCCAGACAUCGAUGUGGAGAGACAAAGGAAAUGGGAUGUUACAUUCCAGAGCACGCCAGGGAGAAUCAUUCAGCUCAGAUGUCUGUGGAAUCAGAGGAGGGUGGGGGGACCAGUGCAGGGGGUACCGGAGCUGGGAGAGAAACAGACUGAUAGGAAGCAUGAGGGGGUGUCACAGUAAAGAUGGCUAACGCUAGGGUGAACUGUCCUGGGUGAGUCCAGACAGCAAACUCCGAAACUUCCAAAUCUUCAGAUUUUCCUCAAGUUAAGUGAUGACUGUUGUUCUUGAACAGGAAUAUGUGUUUUUAAGUUUUAAAAAUUAUUAUAAGGGGCUGUGGGCUUGGCUGUUACAGGAAGGCAGAGUGUGACCCGUCAGCUCAUCACCCGCCUCCUGCCUUGGCCUUAUGGGGUCAGAGACGUGGUGGGGAAGCCUACUGUGUUUGGGAUUCCAGAAUAACCAAUGGGUGGAUGGCUUGGGACAAAUGUCAAGCUGGAGAAAGCUGCCCCCCACAAAUUCCUCCCUCACCCCUUUAUUUCCUAGGAGCCCGCAGAAUGCGUGGCUGGAGGGUGUUCAGAAGGAGUUGUAUUUAGACUCCACAAAAGCACGUGACAAAGCCUCAUGACAUUUUACUUGAAAAAAUUAGUUCAGAUUUGAUGUGAGCACAUCCAUAUGGAUUUCACACUGGUAGAGGGACUCCAAGCAAAAUGAAGCAGUGGACAAGGACAGUUUUCCAGGGUGGGUGACUCCUGGCAGUACGUGCUGAAGACGGCACUCUCUUCUGCCAUGGAGCUUCUGGUCUGUGUGCCAGGCCUGAGUGUCCUCAGUGCACACUGACCUGAGGAUAACGCGGAAGGCCAGAGUGGACCCACCUGGAGGACCAGUCUUCACCAUCACCACUGUGUCCCAGGAGGAUGGGGGAGGGUCCAGUUGCUCUCUGCCGUGCCCCUUCCUCCAGCACAGUCAUUAAUUUCCUUUCUCUCUGCGUCAACAGUAACAGAAUCAGAGAACCUGAAUGGGAGGGGGAUCACCCCGAGGUCACAUCUCUGUUUUAAUCAGCAAGGAAUUUAUGGAGAGAGGUGCUGUCAUUUGCACCUGCAGCUAUGGGGCACAAAGUCCCUGUAGCCAUGAGAUGGCUGAGACCACAGUAGGCACCUGCUCUCUACCUGCACAAGCCUGGACAUUGAUUCCUAUCCUGUAUUCCCCCGGGGAUCUGGAUCUUUAUUGAGCACCUUUAGAUGCUGACAGGGCUUCAUAUGUACAGGGGUGAUCAGGCAUCUUCGACGAUGAUCACAGAGAUCAGUGAAUCUUGUCUCUCCUGCUGGAAGAGCGGGGCAGCCGUGUGGGAAACUGUGCUAGUGUGGGAGUCAGGCCGACUCAGAUGCAAGUACGGCUGCUUUAUUGGCUUUGGCAGCUUUCUUAACCAUUCAGGGCUUCCGUUUCCUCUUCGGUGUGCCAAGAAAAUAAUGCAUACUUGGUAGGAAUGUGAUGCAGGUUAAAAUACUGCCUUACAUCUCCAAGUGGCCUAGACCGAAGGUGGUACCUGGCACAUGACCAGAGCAGGUGCUCAGUAAGUGUUUGUUGAACUGAACUUCACUGGUAAAAGCAUCCAAAGUGCACCUGGACCCUGAUGACACAGUAGUAACGCUGGCUUUAGAGGCCAAGAACUGCAAGAAUCAUAACUAAGUUGUGCUUUUUACCUUUGAGAUCUUUAAGGUGUGCAUGGUUCUAGGGGAAAAAUCAACCAGCAGUGGCUUGGAACACAAAUACACACUGAAAAGUCAUCACACUGGGUGGCUGUGAGGAGCCCGGUCCUCUUUACCAUGGCUUAGGAAGGUGGGUGGGAUAGACACUUUCUUUAUUUUGUGUGUGUGUGUGUGUGUGUGUGUGUUUAAAGGUGUUUAUUGCCAGAACUGCUAAUGUCACUGGCAUUCUGUGUCAGGCAGAAGGGACAGUCAGACCAUGGCCUUCGUGGUGCAAGGUGGACCUCACGGCUGAGCUGAUAUUCCAUGGCUGGUGUAUCAAUUGAAAGUGAGUUUACAAGCUCCAGGGAUCCAAUUUUGCCCGGAUUAUGUUCAUGCUUUGCUUCAUAAUAGAAAACUGCCUUUGUCAGUUAAAUAGAGGGUGGAAAUUGUUUACGUCUGGCUUUCAUGCCACUCUUUCCUCUAGAUAGGGAGAUGGUUUCAGAGAACACGCAUGGCGUGCAUCUCAAAUACUUCAGAACACAGAGAAAAAUAGCCCCGUUCCGUGCAGAGGACAAGCAAUCACAGCUCCAUCUGUUAAGCUUCUGUAUCUAGCAGGAACUUUAGAUUUAUUAUCUCAUUGAACUAAUUUUUUCAGACCACACUGGAGUUGGGCGUUGCAUCCAAUUUACAGAGGAAGGCGUUGAGGAAGCCGUGGAGAUGGGAUUUUCACCCAGGUCUCCUGUCUCUAGAGCCUGCAUGCUUCCCGCUGGGGUUUUGCCUUUUGUGGGAUUGAAGUUUGCUUCUUCCGUGUUUCUCAGUUUUCAGCCUCACCCUGCUUUAAUGUGGGGCUGAGGUCAGUGCUGGUCUUUGAGCAGUGUGAAGCUCCAAUCAUUCCUUGUUUCUUGUUUUUCUUUGAGAUUAGGUUGUUUUUGGCCAAUUACACAGUACUCACUGCAGACCGCAGAGUACAAUUCGAACACCACGCUGAAGUAUCCUCAGAGGCCGGCACCACAUCUUCCAUUUCCCACGUAUUAUUCACGCACCACACAGGGGCCUCAGCUGCCCAGUCCACUUAGUGAGAAUAGUUCUUCGGCCUAAAAGAAAGAGAAGAAGCAGCAAAAGAAGAGGGCAAGUGGGAACUGCUUUCAUUCCCCACUGGGGUGAUAAAUAAAGGCUUAUCCUCCUGAUUUAGUUUAAAGAGAUACAAAAUUUAGGCUUACAAAGAGAAUAGUUGGUGAUAGAGAUUUUCUCAAACACACAGGUUGGUCUUACAAUCAGCAGAUUUUUUUAUUUCGAAAUAAAUGAUGCAUUAAUG